rnacentral:sRNA from 1 species
AUUCAGCGUUAGCUAUUGCAGCGGUAUCCUUUUUUUGCGGAAGGCCGGCUAAAAAAGAUUUAGCGGAAAGAGCGACCCGUA